rnacentral:lncRNA from 1 species
GACGCUUUUUUUCUUUUAGAGCUGGUUUGUAAGCGUGGCGUCCAGCCUCAUCUUGACUGAGAACCUUCAAGAAAAUACAGGAAUUAGAGGGCUACUGGGGGGAGGUAGCGGAGGUUAGCUCUAAGUCUGAGUGAGGAAGAUCCACAUUCCAAGCUGCUUAUAUUUGUCACGAUGAAAAGUUUCACUUCUGCAAAGUUUUCAGUUUUUUCUACUGUUGCUCGAGUGGUCUUUCUCAGUGUGUAUGUUGUAUUUAUUCUUUGCUGUGAAAAUGACUUUGUGCUUGGAAACUGUUACCCAGCUGCUCAGUGUUCUUGGGUUCUGACUGUUCUGGUUAAAUUAAAACAAUUGAAAUAUUUGGAUUCCUCCUUUGGAUGUCCGUUCUCUUCCCGCUGUACCACCUUGUCGUCGUCCUCAAAUAUCCGUAAGUAGCCUGUUAAAUAGUUUCAGAGGUAGUGAUUCCAGUCGGCUUUAGUAAAUUCAGUAGCCCAGACAUCGUUUGUUUGUAUAAUUUAAUAGUAAAAUUGGUGAGCGUGGGGAGCGGAUGAUGCAUCUUACAGUGUAGUGAUAAAGAGAGUUCAGGUUUUGGAGCGGUCUUAGCUCGGUCAGACCCUCACCGUUCCAGACUUUACACUUUCUCAGCCAUAAAAUUAGGACAGUCCUGGGACAGGAGCCAGGAGCCCGCCUGCUAUGGGAGGAACCUGUAGGGGAGGCUUGUAGUGCCCAGUGAGCUCCCUGUAGGCCUCACUGACGCCACGACAUCUAAGCGUGAAAUCGAUAUCUACGUCUAAGCCUAAAGAAUUGUAAUAAAAUUGUGCGAACACGUAUGUACGUAAUUUAUGAUUUCAUUAAGUCCGUUUCCUUGAAACUCGGGAAGCAGGGGAAAGAAGACCGGCAUCGAGGUUAGAAUAUUUCAUUCUGACUCUGGCCUCAUCGUGAAUCGGCUGUGUGACGCAGGCCUCUCCCCGACCAUGAGCUUCACUCUCCUUGUUUGUAAGACAAACGAGUGGUAGACUUAAGUCGUGCUUAAAAUCCCUCCCAGCCCUCCCGCUCUGUGAGCAUAUUGUUCCCAGCUAACUAAAGUUUUCACGGACUCAUUCUGUUAGAAGGAGAGACAAAUGUGCUUCCUGUAGUAGAAUCUAGUAGGACCUCCUUAUAUGGGAAUUGCGUAUAAUAAGUUAUGUUUGGCAGUUUACUGAUUUCACUGGAAUAAAUCCUCCCUAAUUAAUCCUCUAGAAUAAGUGAUCACUGAACUAAAGCACACCUUUAUUCGGGAAGGAAUUUUUACUCACGCGAAAAGCUCACAAUUAUCAUUCAGGUCACGCUAACCGUGUUUAUGAAACAAGUAUAGUAUUUCCCUUGAGAUACUGUUGCUCUAUGUGCACUAACAUCAUAACGUACCUACUAGCACAGACAGUAAUUCAAAUCCAUCGUUAUUCCCCGGACGCCAUUGUGGCCCAUGGGUCAGAACUUACCCUCUAACCGGAAACUAUGGGAACAGUUACAGAGUAGCUCAGUUUUCAUGUUUUGAAUUUUACUGUAUUUUAAUAUUUAUUGAAGUGCCGAUGCUGAUGAGUAGCUACAACCAAGAGGAAAUCGUAGCCUCCUAGGAUCGGAGAAUCUAGAGACGGGGUCUGGCCCACCUCCCUUGAGGAGGCAGAAGCUUAGAAGUCAAGCGCCUGACCCAGGUCUCGUGGUCAGUCGGUGGCAGAGCAGAGCUAUAGUCCAGGCCCCCCUGCGCCUCCCCCCCCCCCCCCCGCCAGCUCCGGCUGCUUUCACUGGACCGCAGUGCCUCCUGGGCAGCAGGGGCCGGGGUGACCGGCCCAGGGCCUGGUCCAGUCGUGGGAGACCACAGUUCUGUCUGCGGCCCGUGGGUGGUUCGCGCACGAAGCCAGCAGCAAGGGGGCGGUGGAGGGCGGAGGGAAAACUAGGCCGCGUCUGUCCUGGUCGCCGGCGUAGCCCCAGCAGCUGGCCUGGUGCCUGUUAUGUGAUAGGUGUGCGGUAAGGGUUUGCUAAACGAGGGAAUGUAACAGAAACGUUCCUUCUCAAUCAUAGUACAUCUAGAAUGCUUGCUUUCUUCUUUAAGGUCCUUGAACACAUGCCCUUGCUGCUGUAUAUCUUGGCAGCAAAAACCUUAAUUCUCUGCCUGGCAUUUGCUGGAGUCAAAAUCUACCAACGGAAAAGAUUAGAAGCAAAACUGGAAGCUGAGAAAAAGAAGCAGUCGGAGAAGAAAGAUAACUAGAGGGAAAAACCAAAGGUAUGGGGACUUUGCUCGUGCAAAAUUUACAGCGGGCCGAGGUGGGCCGAGGCACAGACAUGGGGGUCAGAGAACCCCUCCUCCCUCCAGGCUGAGGGCCGCGUGAGACCCACCUGCUGUCCGAUGGGGGGCAUCUGUGGGAGGGGAGGUGUGCAGAUCCCGGCCCCCUGCACCCUGGGUGCAGAUGAGCUAGAUUGUGCCCGCCUCUGCUCGAAGCCUGGGCGCUGCUCCCUUAUCCGGGCAGUGGGGCUGAGCAGGUGUUGGGUCGCAGAACUCUUGAGAAUUUCCUGAGAGCCGUGGACCUUCUCCCAGCAGAAGCACGCAUAGUAGAAACACCUACAGUUGCACAUCAAAUUGGGGACGGGGAGGAGGUGGGGUCACAGGUCUGUGGAGACCCACACCCGUACCUAAGAUGAACAAACCCUGCUCGAUCUUCAGGAGAAAGUCUGACUCCCAGGAAUGGCAUAGAAAUCCCUUCCCGAUGUGUUCUUGCCCCUCCAGUGCUCACUCCCCACACUUCUUCAGGCCACUCCUUGACCGUGGGAGACGCUCCGGCCCCUUGGCCUUGGCUUGUUAGUCCCAGAGGGUCCUUCCCAACAACCUCUUCAUGUAAGCGUGAAGUCUUACUCGUUCCGGUAGCCCUGGGCCUGUCACAGCACCCAAGAGGUGCCCAGAGCACAUCUGUUGAGUUAAGGCACCAGGAGGUAGUUCUGAAACCCCACCACAGAGUGAACAGACGAUGAUCAACACCUCCCUUAGUUCUGGUGCACUGAUCUGAUUUCUUCCAUUUAUCAGGUUGAAUUCUGUGCUGCUCUGAAAAUUUGAGGAUUCAACUACGGUGGCAGGCGUUUCUAGAUCAGUGGUCCCCAAACUUGGCUACUGAUCAGAAUUGUUGAAAGUGCAGAUUUCCAGGCCCCAACCCCCGAGAGAUUCCAUUACGUGGGUGUAGACAUCUGUUCUUUUGAAAAACCAUUAAGGGAUUCUUCUUUCUUUUUUUUCUUUCUUAACAUACGUAGGUGUAUUUUUUAUUUAAAUUUUAGUUAGUUAACAUGCACUGGGGGAUUCUUAACACAGCCCUUUCAGCAACGUGUCGCUCUAGGAGCCACUGGGCCAGCGAUCUCCUAACCCCCCUCCACCCGGAGAUCCCAUGCUUCCGUAAAUAGGAAUUCCCAUAGAGGAUUUUUAAAAACCUUGUUUAAUGUUGAUUUAUUUAUUUUGAGGGAGAGAGAGAGAGAGCAGGAGAGGGGCAGAGAAAAAGAGGGAGAGAGAGACUCCCAAGCAGGCUCCGAGCUGUCAGCACAGAGCCUAACACGGGGCUCGAUCCCACAAACUGUGAAAUCAUGACCUGAGCAAAAAUCAGCCUCGGAUGCUUAACCGGUUGUGCCGCCCAGGUGCCUCCCGUAGAGGAUCUUUAGGCCUGGGGAGGUGUAGGGGCGCCUGGGUGGCUCUGUCGGUUAAGCGUCAGCCUUCAGCUCGGGUCACAAUCUCGCACUCCGUGAGUUCAAGCCCCGCGUCGGGCUCUGUGCUGACAGCUCGGAGCCUGGAGCCUGCUUCGGAUUCUGGGUCUCCCUCUCUCUCUGCCCCACCCCCACCCCCGCCCACGCUCUCUCUCUCUCUCUCUUAUUAUAAAUAAAUAAAUGUUAAAAGAAAAAAGUUUGGACCUGUGGAGGUUAAUGGCACACGACUAGUAAUCGUAGCAACACUUACUGAAUGACUGUUGUGUGGCUCUCAUUUUGCUCAGCAUUUCUCAGCUGGCCGGCUUAUCGCUUCUGCUGAUAGCUCUGCGGGGCCCGUUCAGACUGAGAAAGGGCUGGCCCUCUGCCUCGUGAAGAGCAGAGUCAGGCUCGAACCCAGGUCAGACACGGGCCCACCGGGCCUCACCCCGGCUGCAUCACCUUCCCGAGUGCAGGGACGUGCACUGAGAGACUGUGAAGCACAGCGGCUCUCCGGUCCUCACCCCGGGCCCAGAAUCCCCUCUGUCAUUGCCCCUCAUGCCGUCCCUGGCCAGAACCUUGGUUUUUUUGGAAACGGUGUUUUACUGGCUGAAACCCAGGAGUGGGCACUGGGGUGAGGAAAGAGGGAGCAUCGCGAAACUAAAACCAUCAAGGGAGGGCAGUUCUCUUUGAAAUGUGUGGUUGGUUGAAUUUCUGUCUCAGGCAGAGUCUAAUUUUUUUUUUUUUUUAUGUUUUAUUGAUUUUUGAGAGCAAGAGAGACAGAGCACGAGCAGGGGGAGGGGCAGAGAGAGAGGGAGACCCAGAAUCCGAAGCAGGCUCCAGGCUCCGAGUUGUCAGCACGGAGCCCGACGCGGGACUCGAACUCACAGACCGUGAGAUCAUGACCUGAGCCGACUGAGCCACCCCGGCCCCCCCAGAGCCCUCAUUUCGCGUUAGACCAAGAAGAAGAAGGAAAGAUGGGAUGUGGGGCCACGAGCACUUCCCUCCCACCGGCACCCGCAGAGGCCUCAGGGCGCAGGGUCUGCCGCGAGACUGACACUUCAUUUUCCUGCCAGCCUCGAACCUGCUUUGAAACCAGGGCAGAAAACCGGGAUGUUGAAGAUAACAUUCUUUUAAUAGAUAAACUUGCAGUGGUUUCUGUUUGUUACGUUGAACCGGCUGAGCGCCAGGGUCAGCGCUGAGCAGGUCAAACCUCUGUCAGUGUUCAAUCAGACAUUUCAUACCCACCCUUUUUGUCUUCCUUUCUAGAGUUUGCGAUUUAAAUGUCGGCCUGAGUAGAUCCCAGCUGAGAAGGAAGCGGAGACCCUUACUGAAUGGGGUGUCGGAGGAUAGACUCCCAACCUAUAGGUUUAACUUAAAAUUGUAUGAAUUUUUUUAUGCCCUUGAAAGAACCAGUAUUUUGUUGACUGAAAUAAAAUACCUUUGUAAAAAGGUUGUCUCUGUCUCUGGAAUG